GACGAACGCUGGCGGCGUGCUUAACACAUGCAAGUCGAACGGAAAGACCCUGCUUUUGUGGGGUGCUCGAGUGGCGAACGGGUGAGUAACACGUGAGUAACCUGCCCUUGACUUUGGGAUAACUUCAGGAAACUGGGGCUAAUACCGGAUAGGAGCUCCUGCUGCAUGGUGGGGGUUGGAAAGUUUCGGCGGUUGGGGAUGGACUCGCGGCUUAUCAGCUUGUUGGUGGGGUAGUGGCUUACCAAGGCUUUGACGGGUAGCCGGCCUGAGAGGGUGACCGGCCACAUUGGGACUGAGAGACGGCGCAGACUCCUACGGGAGGCAGCAGUGGGGAAUAUUGCACAAUGGGCGGAAGCCUGAUGCAGCAACGCCGCGUGCGGGAUGACGGCCUUCGGGUUGUAAACCGCUUUCGCCUGUGACGAAGCGUGAGUGACGGUAAUGGGUAAAGAAGCACCGGCUAACUACGUG
rnacentral:rRNA from 1 species